UCUGUAUUGUAUGGUCUUGUUUGUAGAACUAUUUUGUGUGUAAGGUACUUCUGGGGUUUGUCAUAAGUAAGACUAUGAUCAGCUUUUUUCCAUACAUGGUAACUUAUUUCCCGGUUUUAUUUCUGCAUGCAAAACCGUCAGCUAGCUAGCUAGCACCAGGUGCAUGUGCAAGAGUGAGAAACCGCAAGAGUACGUACAUAUAUUUCCAGAAGUUUGUGCAAGAAAUAAGUACUUCACUAUAUACCUAUACGACAAGUAAUGAUGGAUCCAACUACGAUCAAGAAGUACUCGUGCGUGGAAAGCCGAAGUGGUACUUUAUCUGCACUGUGCUAGAUCAUGCGCGCCUACCUGAUGAUCAUCUGAUCCUGUCAUCUUCAUCUUCACUACUACUUAAAGAAGACGUUAAAGUCGAGUUGGAGCGGCUUCGAUUUGAUACAUUAUUGUCGGUCAGUCUCUGCACUUCGAUCGUAAUGUUGAUUACACUUAUAUGUAACUGUAAGCCUAAUUUCUCACUUACUCUCUCGAGUUUGGUCUGUAAAAUAGAGGACAUGGAGUGCUAUAUAUCCUCUUUAGUUAUAUGUUCGAGUCAAACAUUAAUCCAAUUCUUAAAAAAGACGACGAGUAUUCAACA